GACGAACGCUGGCGGCGUGCUUAACACAUGCAAGUCGAACGGAAAGGCCCUGCUUUUGUGGGGUGCUCGAGUGGCGAACGGGUGAGUAACACGUGAGUAACCUGCCCUUGACUUUGGGAUAACUUCAGGAAACUGGGGCUAAUACCGGAUAGGAGCUCCUGCUGCAUGGUGGGGGUUGGAAAGUUUCGGCGGUUGGGGAUGGACUCGCGGCUUAUCAGCUUGUUGGUGGGGUAGUGGCUUACCAAGGCUUUGACGGGUAGCCGGCCUGAGAGGGUGACCGGCCACAUUAGGACUGAGAUACGGCCCAGACUCCUACGGGAGGCAGCAGUGGGGAAUAUUGCACAAUGGGCGGGAGCCUGAUGCAGCAACGCCGCGUGCGGGAUGACGGCCUUCGGGUUGUAAACCGCUUUCGCCGGUGACGAAGCGUGAGUGACGGUAAUGGGUAAAGAAGCACCGGCUAACUACGUG
rnacentral:rRNA from 1 species